rnacentral:rRNA from 1 species
UACGUAUGGUGCGAGCGUUGUCCGGAUUUACUGGGCGUGAAGGGGGCGCAGGCGGCGCGCCAAGCCUGAUGUGAAAGCCCGGGGCUCAACCCCGGGACUGCAUUGGGAACUGGCGUGCUGGAGUGCCGGAGGGGCAGGCGGAAUUCCUGGUGUAGCGGUGAAAUGCGUAGAUAUCAGGAGGAACACCGGUGGCGAAGGCGGCCUGCUGGACGGAUACUGACGCUGAGGCCCGAAAGCGUGGGGAGCGAACAGG